UAAAUAUGUAUAGUCUUUAUCCUAGUGAGUAAUAUAAAAAAAAACCCAGAGUUUGAUUAUCUUAAUUAUUUUCUCCAAAGAUAUUACAACGGGUAAAUCUUCGUAGGACACCCUGUGCGUAUACACAAUGACGAGCGCAUCGUAUUAUCAUAUUAUAUGCAUUUCAAUCGAAGAUAUUUCGCAAACGUAGUAGACAUCUACCAUAAUACGUCUGAUGAUCAUCGCUGUCAUUCUUUUUAUCAUACAGGCAUAUUUCCAAGAAGUCGAGUGUAUUAUGCUUUACUGAAGGAGAACAAUACAUUUUUAAUCGAAAGAGACGGUUCGCUUUUAAGUUU